CUACGGGUGGCAGCAGUGGGGGAUAUUGCACAAUGGGCGAAAGCCUGAUGCAGCAACGCCGCGUGAAGGAAGACGGUUUUCGGAUUGUAAACUUCUAUCAGCUGGGAAGAAAAUGACGGUACCAGACUAAGAAGCCCCGGCUAACUAUGUGCCAGCAGCCGCGGUAAUACAUAGGGGGCAAGCGUUAUCUCGGAAUUACUGGGAGUAAAGCGAAUGUAGGCUGUUAUGUAAGUCAGUGGUGAAAUCCCUCAGCUCAACUGAGGAACUGCCUUUGAUACUGCAUGACUUGAGGACAGGAGAGGAAAGUGGAAUUCCCGGUGUAGCGGUGGAAUGCGUAGAUAUCGGGAGGAACACCAGAGGCGAAGGCGGCUUUCUGGACUGGUCCUGACGCUCAGAUUCGAAAGCUAGGGUAGCAAACAGGAUUAGAUACCCCAGUAGUC
rnacentral:rRNA from 1 species